GCCCUCGUAGCUCAGUUGGAUAGAGCAAUCGCCUCCUAAGCGGUAGGUCACAGGUUCAAAUCCUGUCGAGGGCGCCA
rnacentral:tRNA from 1 species